rnacentral:misc_RNA from 1 species
GAAAUGCGAUACGUAGUGUGAAUUGCAGAAUUCAGUGAAUCAUCGAAUCUUUGAACGCACAUUGCGCCCUUUGGUAUUCCAAAGGGCAUGCCUGUUCGAGCGUCAUUUGUACCCUCAAGCUUUGCUUGGUGUUGGGCGUUUUUUGUCUUUGGCUCGCCCAAAGACUCGCCUUAAAACGAUUGGCAGCCGGCCUACUGGUUUCGCAGCGCAGCACAUUUUUGCGCUUGCAAUCAGCAAAAGAGGACGGCAAUCCAUCAAGACUCCUUCUCACGUUUGACCUCGGAUCAGGUAGGGAUACCCGCUGAACUUAAGC